rnacentral:rRNA from 1 species
CACGUAGGGUGCGAGCGUUGUCCGGAAUUAUUGGGCGUAAAGAGCUCGUAGGCGGUGUGUCGCGUCGGCCGUGAAAACCUGCAGCUUAACUGUGGGCUUGCGGUCGAUACGGGCAGACUAGAGUUCGGUAGGGGAGACUGGAAUUCCUGGUGUAGCGGUGAAAUGCGCAGAUAUCAGGAGGAACACCGGUGGCGAAGGCGGGUCUCUGGGCCGAUACUGACGCUGAGGAGCGAAAGCGUGGGGAGCGAACAGG